AGCUUGCUCCCGGGAUGUUAGCGGCGGACGGGUGAGUAACACGUGGGUAACCUGCCUGUAAGACUGGGAUAACUCCGGGAAACCGGGAGCUAAUACCGGAUAGUUCCUUGAACCGCAUGGUUCAAGGAUGAAAGACGGUUUCGGCUGUCACUUACAGAUGGACCCGCGGCGCAUUAGCUAGUUGGUGGGGUAAUGGCUCACCAAGGCGACGAUGCGUAGCCGACCUGAGAGGGUGAUCGGCCACACUGGGACUGAGACACGGCCCAGACUCCUACGGGAGGCAGCAGUAGGGAAUCUUCCGCAAUGGACGAAAGUCUGACGGAGCAACGCCGCGUGAGUGAUGAAGGUUUUCGGAUCGUAAAGCUCUGUUGUUAGGGAAGAACAAGUGCGAGAGUAAYUGYUYGCACCUUGACGGUACYUAACCAGAAAGCCACGGYUAAYUACGUGCCAGCAGCCGCGGUAAUACGUAGGUGGCAAGCGUUGUCCGGAAUUAUUGGGCGUAAAGGGCUCGCAGGCGGUUUCUUAAGUCUGAUGUGAAAGCCCCCGGYUCAACCGGGGAGGGUCAUUGGAAACUGGGAAACUUGAGUGCAGAAGAGGAGAGUGGAAUUCCACGUGUAGCGGUGAAAUGCGUAGAGAUGUGGAGGAACACCAGUGGCGAAGGCGACUCUCUGGUCUGUAACUGACGCUGAGGAGCGAMAGCGUGGGGAGCGAACAGGAUUAGAUACSCUGGUAGUCCACGCCGUAAACGAUGAGUGCUAAGUGUUAGGGGGUUUCCGCCCCUUAKUGCUGCAGCUAACGCAUUAAGCACUCCGCCUGGGGAGUACGGUCGCAAGACUGAAACUCAAAGGAAUUGACGGGGGCCCGCACAAGCGGUGGARCAUGUGGUUUAAUUCGAAGCAACGCGAAKAACCUUACCAGGUCUUGACAUCCUCUGACAACCCUAGAGAUAGGGCUUUCCCUUCGGGRACAGARUGACAGGUGGUGCAUGGUUGUCGUCAGCUCGUGUCGUGAGAUGUUGGGUUAAGUCCCGCAACGAGCGCAACCCUUGAUCUUAGUUGCCAGCAUUUAGUUGGGCACUCUAAGGUGACUGCCGGUGACAAACCGGAGGAAGGUGGGGAUGACGUCAAAUCAUCAUGCCCCUUAUGACCUGGGCUACACACGUGCUACAAUGGACAGAACAAAGGGCUGCAAGACCGCAAGGUUUAGCCAAUCCCAUAAAUCUGUUCUCAGUUCGGAUCGCAGUCUGCAACUCGACUGCGUGAAGCUGGAAUCGCUAGUAAUCGCGGAUCAGCAUGCCGCGGUGAAUACGUUCCCGGGCCUUGUACACACCGCCCGUCACACCACGAGAGUUUGCAACACCCGAA
rnacentral:rRNA from 1 species